UCCUACGGGGGGCAGCAGUGGGGGAUAUUGCACAAUGGGGGAAACCCUGAUGCAGCGACGCCGCGUGAGUGAAGAAGUAUUUUGGUACGUAAAGCUCUAUCAGCAGGGAAGAAAAAUGACGGUACUUGACUAAGAAGCUCCGGCUAACUACGUGCCAGCAGCCGCAGUAAUACGUAGGGGGCAAGCGUUAUCCGGAUUUACUGGGUGUAAAGGGAGCGCAGACGGUUGUGCAAGUCUGAAGUGAAAUGCCGGGGCCCAACCCCGGAACUGCU
rnacentral:rRNA from 1 species